rnacentral:rRNA from 1 species
GAUGAACGCUGGCGGUAUGCUUAACACAUGCAAGUCGAACGAUGUCUUAGGACAUAGUGGCGGACGGGUGAGUAACGCGUAAGAAUCUGCCUUCAGGUCGGGGACAACCACUGGAAACGGUGGCUAAUACCGGAUGUGCCGAGAGGUGAAAGGCUUGCUGCCUGAAGAAGAGCUUGCGUUUGAUUAGCUAGUUGGUAGUGUAAGAGACUACCAAGGCGACGAUCAGUAGCUGGUUUGAGAGGAUGAUCAGCCCCCCUGGGACUGAGACACGGCCCAGACUCCUACGGGAGGCAGCAGUGGGGAAUUUUCCGCAAUGGGCGAAAGCCUGACGGAGCAAUACCGCGUGAGGGAAGAAGGUUCUUGGGUUGUAAACCUCUUUUCUCAGGGAAGAAGAAAUGACGGUAACGGAGGAAUAAGCAUCGGCUAACUCCGUGCCAGCAG